rnacentral:piRNA from 1 species
UGCACAGCUUCGGAACAUUGA